CUCGGCUUUGAACAGCGUCGAGAUAUUUGUAAGAUGUCACGUAUAGAGCACGUGAUAUUGGAGAAAGAAAAAACAACCCCCAGUAAACUCUCACGCCCAUUAUUUCUCAACCCUAACACCUUCCAGAUCUGAAAUUCGCAUUCACCGUUUUCAUCUCCUUCGCUCAUCUAUUUUGCUCAACAAUUCUUCAUUUAUCUUUGUUGCGUUUCUCUAUCUCGCUACCUCUCAACUUGCGGAUCUUGUGAGCUACCUUGCAAUUUAGGGUCUUGUGCUAGAUUUUGCUUGAAGGCUAUAUCUUUAAUUUUGUGAUGAGCGACAACGACAACAACAGUAGGUGGUAAAUAUGAAAAAUAUGAUGUAUUCAUCUUUAGGCUGUUAUAUUUCUGGAGAUAGUUUGUGGUAAAAAGAACAGCAAGACAAUUUCUCAAGUCUCCUAGGAUAUACAUGAAAACUGUGGAAUGAGAAAACUAUCAAUUCACUGACUGAUCUAUCAACAUCUAGACUACACGUCCAAGAGGACAUUCUAAGGUGCGUGAGCCUUUUCCAUUGAUAGUUCAUCAUCUUCCACUGCUACAAAAGGCGUGGAAUCUCGACGGUAUUGUUUGCUUGAUUGAUAAUAGGUUGCUUCUCAGGAUUGUUUGCUUGAUUGAUCUGGAAUUUUUAUUUGCUGUUAUUCUUUUGUGAGUCUAUUUCUAGCUUUCAGCUUCCUGGCAUGUGUACUUAUGUUUUCUAUUUUUUUGUUAGUGUUGGUCAUAUCUGGUAUGUGUAUUUUUGGGAUUAUAGCUUGUGAUGCGAAGAUUUCUGCUGUAGAAUGAAGGGGGCUGUAGGGAUAUUACUUAUGCUUUAAGAUUCUAGCACUUCCGCUCAAUCAACUUGAAGGCCAAGAACCUGGCUCAUCACGAGAUGAAGAAUUUUGCAUGUACCAGGUUCAAAGUUGAUAGCCUAUUUUUGAUAAGGUGGACGUGAAUGGUCCAAAUACACCCCUAGUUUACCAAUUCCUCAAGUCCAAGGUGGGCUUUUGGUGACUUAAUAAGUCAAGUGAAAUUUUGAGAAGUUUUUUUUUUUCUGGUGUACAAAGUAGCAUGCAGAGAAAACUCACCAACGCGCUCCACUAAGAAGGCUCAUUAUGAAUCAAGUCUUCAAGACAAGGAAGAAGACUCUAAAUGGAACUGUAGAAGAAAAAAUGUUGCUGAAAUUGUUCUUUGCUGAGUUGCAUGACACAUUGAGGUGUGUCUUUUAUAUGCAAAUUGAGCAUUCUGAGGUUUGGUAUUUUUUUCUGUGUUGUUGUUUCUUGGGAGAAUGCUGCUAGUCCUGUUGAUAUUUUCACAUAUGUUUGAUUUUUGUUGGAGAAAUGCAUGCGAUGUAUGCUCUAGGGUGCCGUUUUUCAUCAAGAAUGUUUAUGGGGGUGGAGUUUUGCAUUUGUGGUCAGAGGCUUGUUAGGA